CACGGCAUUUCUGCUCAACACCUGACAUAGGUCAACAUGUGGAGAACUCUGCUAUACCUCGCAAUCCUGGCUAUCUCUAUAGGGGCCGCGCUAGCCUGUCACACGAAUAAUGACUGUGUAAAGCACUGCAUGGACGAAUGGGGCCACGGCUGGACAGCCACCCGCCCAACCUGCCUGAUCGGCAGGUGUACCUGUCCACUCGUGAACGGUUAAAAGUAUAAAAGAAACCAUGGAAGGAAGCCAAAAUAUCCCGAGGAGAUAAUUCCGCAGUGUGAAAGACAUCGUAUACUAAAGUAGCUACAACCAAAUGAUACCAGAUUUGUCGUUAUUUACCAGGUUGUGAAAUAUUUCGUACAU